rnacentral:misc_RNA from 1 species
UGAAAACAUUGUUCCAAACAGACCCUAAAAGGUUUGUGGAAGUCAUCUGCAUCAAUUUGUCUUGUAGUCAUUAAAUCCCUUGGUGUAUAGAAGCUAUUUUAAGUUGGCCUUGUGGCAUUCCAACAUCUACUUUACAACAUAACAUUCAUUCUCAAUAGAUGAAGCUGAUAUGGAAAUAGUUGUUUGUCUUUGGAGUGCAGAUCACCUUAUGUUUUUAUUCAUACUUGUAUAAUAAGCCAGUCGUCUAUGGUGAUCAACUGCAUAUUUGAGAAAAGAUGCUUCUAGCUUUCGUUUCUUUGAAAUGUAGUGUAUUUUAUGGGUAAAUUUGAGUGGGUAAAUGAUUAUUCAUUUUCUUAUAAGAUUUUUUUUAUUUUGAUUUAGG